rnacentral:lncRNA from 1 species
UGUAUAUAAUAGAAAGUUCAUUUGGGUAGGAAGUAAUCUUGACCAUCUAUUUAUUAAUCAAUCCAAAUAAUCAACAAAAACAAGUUUGGGGAUUUUCAUGUUCUUACCUAGUAAAAGACUAGGGCUAAAAAUAUGAAGAUUGAAUGGGUGUUCUUGUGAGAUUCUUCAAUCCAAUGCUCAUUAGAUCCUCCAAGAUGCAAUCAGGGCCACCAAAUCCAAGUGUAAGAGACUUGAUUAUGGAAAAACGAAGAGUAUGGAAGUGAUACUGAGGGUUCCGGCCAAGAGGAGGGGGAGGAAGAUGAGAUGAAUUCAAAUUUUGAUAAAAAAAAAUAACUUAUUAAUGUAAAAACACAAUCAUUAGGCAGGGGAGGGGGGGGGUCUUAGGGGUUUCCAAGGGAGUUUUAGUUACAAAUUAGAGAGGGAGAAAGAGAGUCGGGGAGUGUGUGUGUGUGCAGAGUGUGUGUGUGGGUGUGGGGGGGGGAUAGGGUGGUUGUGUGGUUGUGUGGUGGUGUACGAUAUUAAGUGUAGUCUUAGGUUAGUUAUUAUGAAAAAUCACAUUUAAGUGUUUAUCACUUGAAUUUAAUUGGUAAGUAAUCAUUUUAGGUUUUAUUUUAUAGAAUCACUUAGUUUAUAAAAUAUACUUGCAUAUUUAAUUAGGUGGUCACACUAUACAUAUACAAUAUAUUUUAUCACACAUAUUGCACAUUCAAUUUAUCGUAGAGUAAAACUGUAUCAUCACAAUUUAGGGUUUUAUCUAUCGCUUCGGUAAAUAUUAUUGUUAAUCGGCAUGGUAAUCACCAAUGUCUAAUAAUGCAAAUUCUAUGCAUAUAGCGGGCUAUACUAGACUUCAUGAGACCUAAUUUAGUACAAUUAAGUCUAAUGUACAUAAUUAAAAUAAACGUGAUCAGUUAAAGUGUAUGGAUUUGACCUGAGAAAUUGUCGGUUGUCACAAAAAUACCUUGGGUUUUUAGAGAACAAGAGAGAUUACUUGGAUGAACUUAGAGAGUGUUUUAGGUGAAAAUGAAGUGUGUUGUGGGUGUUUGCUCUUUGUGGUCAGUUUUAAGAAGAGAGAGUGAGAAGGGUGAAAUGCAGGGCUGGCCCAUGGGCCAUUAAAGUCAAGCUAGGGCUUUAGGCCUCCAACUUGAUAGGGCCUCCAACAAAAAAAAUGUAUGUUCUUUGUUGUUUGCGAUUAUGAGCUUAAAAACAAGAAACUGGGCUUACUAUGAGAACUGAUUGGGCUGGCCCCAUACCUGUAAUUAUGUAAACGAACGGGUAUUAAAUGCCUUUGAAAAAAGUAAAUUAGGUUAGAUAGAACUGAAAGGACGAUGGCUAUUGGCAUGCGUGGAUUUAGGUGGUGCAAUAGAAGCGACAACUAUGCUAUUUUUACAAUAAUUUUCUGUUUCCAAUACUUUUAAUGGAACCCACAAAAAUUCGUUGAAAUAUUAGGAUCAAAGAAUUUAGAUUUGAACAGAGGUAACCAUUCAUUGAAUUUUUAUUGUUCUUUAAUAUCUUACUAGGUUAUGGAGGGGGGAUGUAAGAACAUAAAUUUGUUGACUAAUUGCUUAUAGAGAAUGAUGGAGAGGUUUAAUUUAAAUGUACAAGUAUGUUUAGUUAUUUUAGAUGUUCUAUGUAUAAACACAAUCGAUUUUUGUAUGACAGUGAACAAUUAGGUAGUUUUGAAGUUGAAAACUGUUCAAAAGAGGGAAUGUAAUAAUUUUUACGAGAUGGAAAGGAAGCAAUCCACCGAACAGUUGAAGACAACCUCAUGGUGUUAGGAUGCAGUUAAUUUCUUUUGUUUUAUUAGUAUGCGUACUUGUAUUUAACAUACCUCUUGUAACACCCUAGUUACUAAUUAACGAUUUUGUAU